GAGACCCAUUUCAAACGUACCCACCCCCCAGCUAUCUUUACUAGACAAUUCCCCAUGCAAGUGCACUCUCUCUCUGCCACAAAAUCCAAGGGAGUAUCGAUCUUUAUCCACAAAGAUGUAGCCUACACUCCACAGCGACAGUACAUAGACCCAGAGGGGAGAUAUGUUAUACUGGUGGGUCGUUUCAACGAUACACAACUGACGCUGGUAGCAGCGUACCUGCCCAACGACCGACCACGCCACUUUCUGUCUUCCCUCCUGCGCAAAAUCGAAGAUUAUAGGUUAGGGGACCUGAUACUCUGC